AUCUGACAGCCGCUGCCUUGCCCGGUCCUUUUUCCAUCCUUUUCACUCUCUGGUGGUCAUCCCAGCUCGUUUAAGAGUCUCAGUCGGGACUGUGGGAGCGCGUCUGAUCGCUGUCUCCAACUUGGGGUGAAGAAAGACAGGGGAAACUCCUCGGGAUUCUCCGUACCCCGAGCUCUUUUCCGGAUAUUCUGUUUGACGUGCCACAGUGCUUCUUAAGGAGAAUUCUGGGGAGAUUUCUUACUCUUUCAUUCCUCAAGGAUGGAGCAGCACAGUGGACCUGUGUACUGAAGCAG